UGUAACAUAGCUGCAGAGGGAAAUAAGAUCUAUGGAGUGCUUAUAAAGAGAAGCAGUGUGUACUUUGGGCUGAUAUGCUCUGAGAAAAGUCUGGUUGAUCUUCUCCGGCAAAGACUGGAAUACUGGGAAACAGUUCCUAGGAGUUCCCAACAGAACAUCAGCCUUUGACCUGCCAUGACUAUGAAGACCUGGUACCUUCCUGCUCUUUUUCUUCUCCUUGUCUCGGUGCUCUUUUUUGAUCCAAGUUUUGCUGACCCAGCAAGUGAAAAAUUAUGUCAUAUCUUGAAUGGCUAUUGUGAGAAUGAAGUGAGGUGCCGACCCAAAUAUGUGGCUUAUGGUAUCUGUAAUGAGAAGAGAAUUUGCUGCAUAAGCCAGAAGGAUAUGCAAGUCAGAAAGCAUCAACAUGCCGGAAGUUCUCAUAAAUGUCCCAUAGAGUCUGAUUGCCCCAACAAACAUUUGCAUGUUGAACCCGCCAUGGUGAAGACUCGUGGUCCUUGAAAGAAAUAACUGAGCCUUCUAUGGGAAAAGGUGUGUUGUUCUGUUACACAUGUUACUUGAAAUAAAGCAUAAAAACAAAACAAAAGAGAAACCCUACUUAGUCAAAGGGCAGUAGUUGUUGUUGUUUAGUCGUUUAGUCGUGUCCAACUCUUCGUGACCCCAUGGACCAUAGCACGCCAGGCACUCCUGUCUUCCACUGCCUCCCGCAGUUUGGUCAGACUCAUGUUGGUAGCUUCAAGAACACUGUCCAACCAUCUCAUCGUCUGUCGUCCCCUUCUCAUUGUACCCUCAAUCUUUCCCAGCAUCAGGGUCUUUUCCACGGAGUCGUCUCUGCUCAUGAGGUGGCCAAAGUAUUGGGGCCUCAGCUUCAGGAUCUGUCCUUCCAGUGAGCACUCAGGUCUGAUUUCCUUCAGAAUGGAUGAGUUUGAUCUUGCAGUCCAUGGGACUCUCAAGAGUCUCCUCCAGCACCAUAAUUCAAAAGCAUCAAUUCUUCGGCGAUCAGCAGUUAUGCUGAACCAAAUCACUGAUUCAAAUCGAUUCAAAUCACCACAUCGCACAGAAAAUGGGCUGCCAGUUGCAAAACUUGUCAGAUUGGUAAUUAGGCUUGCCAUGUGUCCUCUUUUUCCAAGACACGUCCUCUUUUUCAGGGGUAACAUUUCUGUCCAGGUAGAUUUUUAAAAUUUGCCAAAAUGUCUCUGGCUGUAUUUUCUGGAUGGGACAUAGACAUAACUGGUAGUUCAAGACUUCCUCUUCUCUUGCCCCCCUCAGCAAUAUACGAUAGUGUCUAUAGCCUACAUAUUGUAGGGGGCAUAUAAAAUGAGAGUUAGAAUCAUAGAAUCAUAGAGUUGGAAGAGACCACAAGGACCAUCCAGUCCAACUCCCUGCUAAGCAGGAAACACCAUCAAAGCAUUCCUGACAGAUGGCUGUCAAGCCUCCGCUUAAAGUUGUCUUGGCAUCCUCUCUUUUUUGCACUUCAAAAUAAGGCAGCCCUAGUUUAGAAGCGCUGUCAGGAUGUGAGUAAUUUCGUUGUUCCUGCAAGGGGACAAUGACAAUAAAGAUAUCUUAUCUUGUAGAGGUGUGUGGUGUGUUUGAGGAAUCUGGUGUAUGUUUGUCUGUGAGAAAGCGAAGGGAGAAAGGAGAAAGAAGGGAAAGGAGUAUAAAGGUGCUGGAGACAUACAUUUUCAGGCAUUUUACUCAUUUGCCACCAGCUUUGGCCACAAACAUGCAUGUGGCCCCUGACCACUUCCCACGAAGAAAAAUACUAGCCUCAAACUCUAACAGCUAGACCACCCUUGAUUUUUGCUCAGAAACGUACUGGGAGCCAAUGUAGGUCUCUUAGGACUGGUGUUAUGUGGUCUUGGCGGCUGCUCCCAGUCACCAGUCUAGCUGCCGCAUUCUGGAUUAAUUGCAGUUUCCGGGUCACCUUCAAAGGUAGCCCCACGUAGAGCGCAUUGCAGUAAUCCAAGCGGGAGAUGACCAGAGCAUGCACCACUCUGGUGAGACAGUCCAUCCUCAUGAAAUUUCACCAGCAUUUUAUUGAACAUUUUUCAGGACACGUACAUUUUUAGAUUUUACCUUUGAUGGCUUAUAAACCUAUAUUUUAAAAUGUGUUAGGGACAAUCAUGCAACUUUGUAUUGCCCUUUUCAAAUGUAAAAUGUGACGCAAUAAAUAUUUUCCCCUUGAACUAUUGUUGUUGUUGUUGUUUGUCAAAUAGCAGGAAACAAC